AUUGAACGCUGGCGGCAUGCCUUACACAUGCAAGUCGAACGGUAACGCGGGGCAACCUGGCGACGAGUGGCGAACGGGUGAGUAAUGCAUCGGAACGUGCCUGGUAGUGGGGGAUAACUGCUCGAAAGAGCAGCUAAUACCGCAUACGACCUGAGGGUGAAAGGGGGGGAUCGCAAGACCUCUCGCUAUCAGAGCGGCCGAUGUCGGAUUAGCUAGUUGGUGGGGUAAAGGCCCACCAAGGCGACGAUCCGUAGCUGGUCUGAGAGGACGACCAGCCACACGGGGACUGAGACACGGACUAGACUCCUACGGGAGGCAGCAGUGGGGAAUUUUGGACAAUGUACGCAAGUCUGAUCCAGCCAUGCCGCGUGCGGGAAGAAGGCCUUCGGGUUGUAAACCGCUUUUGUCAGGGAAGAAAUCUUCUGAGUUAAUACCUCGGGAGGAUGACGGUACCUGAAGAAUAAGCACCGGCUAACUACGUGCCAGCCGCCGCCGUAACAC
rnacentral:rRNA from 1 species